rnacentral:lncRNA from 1 species
GUUCUUCACGGUGAGGCAAAUGCAGGAAAAAUGCCUUGAGCAGAAUCUGAGUCUCUACAUUGUCUUCAUAGACCUGACGAAGGCGUUCGACACAGUGAACAGGGACCCAUUGUGGGUGAUCCUCAGCAAGCUCGGUUGCCCAGCAAAAUUCACCAAACUGAUCCAGCUCUUUCAUGUCAACAUGACAGGGGAAGUCCUCUCUGGUGGAGAGACUUCCGAUUGCUUCAACAUCUCCAAUGGCGUGAAACAAGGCUGUGUCCUCGCUCCGGUACUAUGCAACCUAUACUUCACCCAAGUAUUACGACAUGCUGUGAUGGAUCUAGACCUGGGCGUCUACAUCAAAUACCGACUGGAUGGCUCACUACUCGACCUUCGCCACCUGACUGCAAAAACAAAGACAACAGAGAGACUCAUCCUGGAAGCUCUCUUCACAGAUGACUGUGCUCUCAUGGCCCACCAGGAAAAUCACCUCCAAACCAUUGUGGACAGGUUCUCCACCGCAACAAAACUGUUUGGCCUGACUAUCAGCCUCAGCACAACAGAGGUGCUGUUCCAACCCGCACCAGGGAGGCCAACGAACCAGCCGUGCAUUACAAUCGACGGCACGCAGCUUUCUAACGUCAACACCUUCAAGUACCUGGGCAGCACCAUCGCCAACGACGGGUCCCUAGACCAUGAGAUUAAUGCCAGGAUCCAAAAGGCCAGCCAGGCACUCAGGUAGCUGCACUGCAAAGUCCUCCAACACAGCGGUGUAAGCACUGCGACGAAGCUCAAAGUGUACAACGCAGUGGUCCUCAGCUCUCUCCUGUACGGUGUGAGACAUGGACACUGUACCGGAAGCACAUGAAACAGCUGGAGCAAUUCCACCAACGCUCCCUCCGGUCAAUCAUGAGGAUCCGAUGUCAGGACCGAAUCACCAACCAGGAAGUCCUCGACAGAGCCAACUCCACCAGCAUCAAAGUCCUGGUCCUCAGAACCCAGCUACGAUGGUCUGGACACAUCAUCUGCAUAGACCCACAGCGAACACCAA